CCUACGGGCGGCAGCAGUGGGGAAUAUUGGACAAUGGGGGGAACCCUGAUCCAGCGACGCCGCGUGAGUGAAGAAGUAUUUCGGUAUGUAAAGCUCUAUCAGCAGGGAAGAAAGAAAUGACGGUACCUGACUAAGAAGCCCCGGCUAACUACGUGCCAGCAGCCGCGGUAAUACGUAGGGGGCAAGCGUUAUCCGGAUUUACUGGGUGUAAAGGGAGCGUAGACGGCGAUGCAAGUCUGAAGUGAAAGGCGGGGGCCCAACCCCCGGACUGCUUUGGAAACUGGAUGGCUGGAGUGCAGGGGAGGUAAGUGGAAUUCCUAGUGUAGCGGUGAAAUGCGUAGAUAUUAGGAGGAACACCAGUGGCGAAGGCGGCUUACUGGACUGUAACUGACGUUGAGGCUCGAAAGCGUGGGGAGCAAACAGGAUUAGAUACCCUUGUAGUC
rnacentral:rRNA from 1 species